UUAUGAUUAGAUGAUGAUGAUCACGUGUCACGAUCACGUGUCACGUUCUGAUUGGACGUUGACAAUAACAAUGCAUUUUCAUCGUCCAUAGAGUCAACAUGCAAUCAGAACGUGACACAUGAUAGUCAUCGUCU
rfam:Glycine soja cultivar W05 scaffold5961_22, whole genome shotgun sequence.